UGGCUCAGUUGGUAGAGCGUGAGACCCCUGAUCUCAGGAUUGUGAGUUCGAGCCCCAC
rnacentral:tRNA from 1 species